rnacentral:rRNA from 1 species
GGUUGCGUUCAUACGAGCACUAAUGCACCGGAUCCCAUCAGAACUCCACAGUUAAGCGUGCUUUGGCGAGAGUAGUACUAGGAUGGGUGACCCCCUGGGAAGUCCUCGUGUUGCAACCCC